GAUGAACGCUGGCGGCGUGCCUAAUACAUGCAAGUCGAGCGAACGGACGAGAAGCUUGCUUCUCUGAUGUUAGCGGCGGACGGGUGAGUAACACGUGGAUAACCUACCUAUAAGACUGGGAUAACUUCGGGAAACCGGCGCUAAUCCCGGAUAAUAUUUUGAACCGCAGGGUUCAAAAGUGAAAGACGGUCUUGCUGUCACUUAUAGAUGGAUCCGCGCUGCAUUAGCUAGUUGGUAAGGUAACGGCUUACCAAGGCAACGAUGCAUAGCCGACCUGAGAGGGUGAUCGGCCACACUGGAACUGAGACACGGUCCAGACUCCUACGGGAGGCAGCAGUAGGGAAUCUUCCGCAAUGGGCGAAAGCCUGACGGAGCAACGCCGCGUGAGUGAUGAAGGUCUUCGGAUCGUAAAACUCUGUUAUUAGGGAAGAACAUAUGUGUAAGUAACUGUGCACAUCUUGACGGUACCUAAUCAGAAAGCCACGGCUAACUACGUG
rnacentral:rRNA from 1 species